GGAGGGUGCAAGCGUUAUUCGGAAUCACUGGGCGUAAAGAGCGCGUAGGCGGUUUCUAAAGUCAGAUGUGAAAGCCCGGGGCUCAACCCCGGAAGUGCAUUUGAAACUUAGGGACUUGAGUAUGGGAGAGGGAAGUGGAAUUCCUGGUGUAGCGGUGAAAUGCGUAGAUAUCAGGAGGAACACCGGUGGCGAAGGCGACUUCCUGGACCAAUACUGACGCUGAGGCGCGAAGGCGUGGGGAGCAAACAGGGAUUAGAUACCCUGGUAGUUCACGCAGUAAACGUUGAACACUAGGUGUAGCGGGUAUUGACCCCCUGCUGUGCCGCAGCUAACGCAUUAAGUGUUCCGCCUGGGGAGUACGGCCGCAAGGCCA
rnacentral:rRNA from 1 species